rnacentral:lncRNA from 1 species
AAAAAAAAAUGGUGUGGAUGAAAAAGUGUCCAAUGCAUUUAGCCACCCCUUCACUCUCUUGAUCCCUCCAGUUUAGCCUAUUUUCUCAUUUCCAGUUGAUGUGAGAUACAGAUUACCCAGAGCUUAAACAUUAUACAGUCCAUAAUAUAAAUUGUAUAAUUAAUGAUCAGAUUCCAUACAGAGAUAAAUAAUCACUAAACAAAGGCAGUGGGAUUUUUUUAUUUGGAGGACAGUUGGUAGAGAAAAAGACAGAAGAAGACUUGCAUUUCCCAACUGCUGUCAAAUAACAGGACAGCGUGCAAUGAGAAAGCGGGGAGGAGGCUCUAAAGGGUGUUGGUAAUAGAGGAUGAAAUGGUAGGCUUUGAUGUGCAUUUCUAAUAGGAACUGUGUAAGAAUUUGUAAAUUGGUGCUGGUCUUUCUAGAUCAGUAGUUCUCAACCCGUGGGGGUCAAAUGACCCUUUUUAUAGGGAUCCCUUAAGACCAUCAGAAAGCAUAGAUAUUUAAAUUAUGAUUCCUAACAGUAGCAAAAUUACACUUAUUCAGUAGCAAUGAAAAUAAUUUUAUGGCUGGGGUCACCACAACAUGAGGAAGUGUAUUAAAGGGCUGCAGCUUUAGAGAAGUCCUGUCUCAACCUCUGAUGCACUUCUGGAGGGGGAGGAGGAGGACAGGGAGGAAGAGGAGGGGAAGAGGAAUGCGAGAAGACUCGUCCCUCUGCUUAUCUAGAGAGUUAACAGUUUGGUAUCCAUAGAAAUGUUCCUAUUCUGUGGUCAUUUACACGACAGCUGUACUUACUCCCCUGAAGAUACCACCUCACCAUGCUCACAGGAAGUGGCAUGUGAGGACCAAGUAGCUUUCUAUAAGACCUGAACUCUACUAUAUCCUGGAUCAUGGGAUUUGUAGCUCCUAAAGUAUAAGAAAAGUUUCUUUAAGCAAUUAUUGAUAAUUAUUGAUAUAGUUUCUGUUGCAGUCCUGCUGACAAAUUCAGGAUGUAAUGAUAUUGGCAUAUUUUAUAUUCAUGAAACCUGCAAUUUAUGUGGCUUGGAAAGGAAAUAUACAACUUCUUUUCAUCGAAGUAGGAAGAGAAGUGUUUUCACUCGGUGGUGGAAGGAAGGCACCAUCAUUUUUGGUUUUUAUUUAAGCUUCCUAGAUCCCAGUGUGUAAUUACAUGGUAUGAGAAAUAUAAUUGGAUUUUUGAGCUAAGAAACAAAGAUACAAGGCUUCUCUCUUUUCUCUUUUAUCUACCUUUAAAAUAAAUAAUCUUGCCUGAGUGCCCACAGCAAAAUAUAGGUAUGAUUUAUAUUAUUUGUGCUAAUAUUGUUAUCUGAAAACUUCAUUCAAAAUGAGAAGUGAGAGCUCGCCAUGGACUGUGUUCUUUUUUUUUUUUUUUAACUUCUCACUUUACGUUGUUGUGGAAGGAGAGGUAGGCCUUGAGCUACACUAUUGUUAAGUAAAUACAUCUGUUUCAUUGUCUCAUGUGAUUGUACUCCAGGCCGACAAACACAUUUCUAAUGCAUUGUCGCUUAAAUCAAUAGACUGUCUCAGAAGAGGACAUUGGAAAUGGCAUGAAAUUUGUACUGGGACAAUCCUGUACAGAUUUAUAUUGUUCUUUGUGUCAUUAUUGUUCUAUAACAGCUAUGUUUUGGAGAGCUACUUUUGAUCUGACAGGAACUGGCUGCCACUUGGCAGCGAGGAUUCACCUAGAUUAGGUAGUUGCUUCCUGUUUCUAUAUAUGGGCUUGGGAAAAUAGCGUUUACUUUCCUCCAAAGAUUUCUCAGAACAUACUGGUACGGAAUGUUCAGACGUAGGAUAAUUCCUUUAAAAGCUACAUCUGGUUACCCUCAGAAAAAUAAUUCCAUUAAUAUUUCAACUCAUUUUGAUCCUUUUGUAGUUUGUAGUAUUUUUUUUUCAAUGUAUGUAGGUGGCCUUAAACCAUAUGGCAAAAGCAUUUCCCCAAAACAUACAAUCCUUGUCUUACUAUGAACUAUUUUCCAUAUUUCCUUGUUAUUUGAAUAGCUCCUCUCAGCAGGCUCCAAACCCCCUUUUCCCCUUUGAUCCAGUUCUGCUUAUGCUGAUGGCUAAGCUUACAUACACUGACAAACUUAUACGUGUUUUAAUAACGUGUUUAAGAAUGAAAUCACCUAUUCCUUUCCUGUGUUUGGAGUGAAAAUAUGUUGUUACUAUUUUUAGGUAAAACGCAUCGAAUGUCUGUGCAGUCAUUGCCCUGUACAGGGUCAUUAUUAUUCAUACGAUGCUGUAUUUUGGGCUCAGUGAUUUGUUUUGUAUCAGUCUACUUUAAAAUACUCAACUGCCUAGAUUCUUUUUUUCCAUUAAAUGGUGCUUUUAGAUGCUUUACUUUUAAGCCUGUGAAUACUUUUUUUCAAGAUAAAAGGUACUGGAUGUGCAUUUAUACAUGAAAAAUCAGAGACUCAGACAUUUAAGGAAAAACUUUUUUCUGUCUACUAAAAGUCUGAAUUCUUACAUCUUCAAACAUCUGUCUUAAACUUAGUAAGGCUGUCAUUCCCUCCCCUUCUUGACAGCUGCUUUACUUCAGUCUUAACUCCCAAAGUGGAUGUUGCCUAGGGCAUGUAAGAAAUAGGAAAUAACAUAGAUAAUUUACCUGCUAUGAGGACUCUUAACAACACAUAUUCAAUAAUGUCAAAAAUUCAAAGAAUGUUAAAUCUGGCUUCCAGUCCUCUGCAGCUUUACAUCCCCAUGCCCUGAGUUACUGUGACGUGCCUUUGCUUCCUAGGCUGCUUUGCAAAGAUAUAAUCCUGGAGCACCCUUAGCCAUAUAUUAACAAUUCCUCAAAGAAUGACCAUAGCAUUAUAAGAAACCACAUGUAAUUCUCUCGACUAUGUGGUCAAAUUCCUUUUAACAUAUUUCAUAGUUCAGUAUAGUGUUAGUAUGUGUAGCUCUAUUUAUCCUUAUAUUUUAAGUAUUUACUGGAGAAGAUGUAGUUAUAUUAUUAGAAGAAUGACUUGUAUGUGUUCUAGUGGUGUAAAUAAUUGAAGGUGUAGCACUUCUAAGUGGCUUCCAUUUCAAGUGUUUUGGUAAGAAAUGAAUUCACUCCCACUUUUAUGUUUCUUAAUUCACUGGUGAUGAAAGUAUACAAUAUAGGUCUGUAUUAUUGAAAAACCCUCAAGGUACUUUGAAAGCAUGGCUUUAUACAGAUCAUAGAAUGACUUUCUUCAUUCUGUAGCUGUCAGUGCUGUCAAAGGACCUGUCUUGUGUAGGGAUGUUGUCUAGUCAAUGUAACAAGAGAGUAUUGAUGAUCUUGCUGUCCAUAGGAGUGGUUGCAGAGGUGGACUACACCAAGAUGGAAAAUGGAAAAAAUAAAGAGGUGAAAUUUAUCUAUAUUUAGCACAUGGAAGCUAGAAAACAGAAAAGUUGGACUUUCCCUUUGGAUUUUCUUUUAAUACCUUUGGUAUAGGUCACACCCAGUGCCUGAAUGUCACCUUUGCCUUGAUAGUGCUGUCAUAGAUUUCAGUACUAUUGAGCAUUGAGUUCAUGGAGGAAGGGACCUUUUCAUAGUGCACCCUGGUUUGUCUGCAGUGCUUGUUUGGGACCCAGUCUGCCAUUGUGCCUGUCAGAACUUGCCAUAAUUUAAAUGUUUAAGGUGGGUGGGUGAUUAACCUGUUUAGCAGACUGUCUUACUGCCCAAGAACUUUUUGUUUUUACCUUUUUAUUGAUUCUUUGUGAAUUUUACACUGUGCAUCUCAGUCCUGCUUGUCUCCCCAGCCCUUCAUAUCAGCCCUCUGCCCUUGCAAGUCCC